GGGCGGAUUCUACAGUCUUCAGCCCUUUUGCUAACAUUCCCUGACUGCUUUCUCCUGGUGGCUCAAACAGCAACAGAGACAACGGCUAAACCAGAUAAGCUGCAGAGAUUUGUUUUUUUUUCGUAACCAAAAGUUUCUGGGGACAUAAAAUCAUUGCAAGUAGUCAUGUGUAGUCUUUUGGCUCAAAAGUAAAAUGCUAAGUUACGCAUUAGUUGUUGCAUAAAUUUGCAUAUUGAUAUAUACAAUCCCAACGACUUUAAUAGCAUCACAGAUUAGCAGAGACAGAUGCACACAGACACACACAGCCUGACAUUCAGAGACUCCCAGGCAGAGACAAACAGCCCAAGGAAAAAGUGAGGAUGGCUCACCAGGAGCAAGGACGAUUGGAAGGAACACAGGUUUUUAAGGGAAAGAUGGAGGGCCUGGGUGGGCAGAGGGUUCUCCCCAGCUCUUGCUUUAUGUAACCUUCUGGUCCUAGGCCCCCACUCCCAUGCUCUGUCCUUGGAACUUUCCACUUGAUCCUGAGCAGAGGGCAGGAGAGAUGAUUUACAUUGGUCUGGCAUGAAUCAGAAGAUCCUGAAGUACUGGAGUCCCAGAGGAGCAUUUAGGCUUGUUUUAAGAAAAGGAGAGGAAGAUUCUUAAAGGAUGAUAUUUCUGGUCUUUCACUCUUCUAUGGCAUCCAAAUAUAGAACUAAGGUCUUGGCUGUCUGCACACCUAGAAGCCUUUGGCACUCUGCCAGCAAGGAUCAGGCCCUGAAAGAGGAUUCCACACUGGUCUGAUUUGCAAACCAAAGCCCC
rnacentral:lncRNA from 1 species